CCUUUGGAGCGUCACACCAAACGCAAGUAGAUUCGUCAAAAGCGGACGCGUUGAAUUAGGAA
rnacentral:sRNA from 12 species